GGGAGGGGGGAGGAGGAGGAGGAGAGUUUAGGGGAGCUGAGAGACGAUCGGACUACUAAACCCAGCAGGCCGACUGAGAGCGCUACGGCAGCCCGAUGGAGUCAAAGCUCCUCACCUGGUCAGAUCAGUGAGAGCGCAGAUGUGCCAGAAGUCAGUUUCGAAGCGACCAAUCAGGGCUCGGUUGCCCUGGGCGACCAGAUGAUGGAGCCAAGUGGCACACUGACCUCUGACCUCCUCAGCAACCUGUCACUGUCUCCACCUCCACACACAGCAGGACAGGUUGUUCUGGUCACACAGUUCGACACACAAACAGAGCAGCAGAGAGGAGGAGGAAGGAGGAUGGAUGUUCAUCUGCCCUCCAUCAGACCACAGCAGGAGGAAGAGGAGGAGCAGGAGGAAGAGGAGCAGGAGGAGGUGAUGGAGGAGGAGUCAGUCAGUGCAGCAGCAGGUUCAGACUCCUCCACUAACGACGUUUU